GCAGGAGACACUAAGAUCGUCCGGGCCAAUCGGAAGGCGGCGAGGAGCUCCCAGCGGGGUACGGAGAGUAUAGAUCCCCCCUCCCUAAGAGAAGCUGAGACCCUCGUGGAUGCCCGAACCUGGCCGGAGUGGAGGGGGGAUCGGCCCAGUUAGUAUCCAGAAACGGAGAAGCAAGCCACGCUCUGAGCCUGGCGGGAGCCCCACGUCCAACAGACUACCUUGCAAAAGCACGGCCAGCCGGCGGGGCCGACUGGGUGCCUUUCACCCUAUUUCACCGGUAGCGAAACUGAGGUAGAGAGACAUUAAGUCGUGCUAGACCCCCUGGGAGAGGGGAUGAGAGUCUCGUCGGAGCCCGGAGGCUCCUAACCGCUCAGUUUUGGUGCCCAGGCAUUUUCAAGAAUUAGCUGAGAGCUGCAGUCGAAGCCCAGAGCCAAGGCCAGAGUGUAACAGGUGUUCGGCAAGUCGCAGCUGUCUGUUACCUCGGCGACCUGGUCUUCCCUCCACUUAGUCCCGGCUGCUCCAAGUGGGGCCAAAGCUCUGCCAAUCCGGGGCAGGAGACCCGGCUGUGGCUCUGCCUUACUUUGUGACUUGGACAAUUUUCUGCCCUUCCUUGGGCCUCAGCGUUGCCCUCUGUGCAACAGGGAGAACGGGAGAUCAUUUUGAGGUCCCGGAGGUCCCUGAGGUCCCCAGUUCCAGGGUCACUGCAGCAUGCCUCCUUUGUUUCUGCUCCAAGUCCACGGUCAAGCCGCAAACACCUAGACCCCCCAGGAAGGAGGAAGGCCACGCAGAUGUUUCAGGCAGCAGAGCACAGGGAUUGUAAGUGAACAAUUGGAUGAAUUAUCGCCAAGUGAGCACACUCAGGGAUGUGAGACAUUUUCCUUGAGGCCAGUGGGCCAUCACCAACCCUGCCUCUGUCCCGUCUGUGCCCUUGGCCCGCCAUGGGAACCCAUUGCAUUGGAAAAGCAUGUAUUUCUUGCACUUCAAAAGUCCCCUGGGUGCUUCAGCUCCUUGAGGGCAAGAUCUGUCAUGGGUGUCUGGCACCUACCAGCCCCAAAUCCUGGAUGGACAGCCUGAGGCACCCUUGGUCUGAGUGUCGGGUAUACCAGGGGUGGGGAGGCUCUCCUUUCCUUCUGGCUCCCCCCUGGGGUGAUCCAGGUUGGGCAUGGCAGGGAGGGGGGCCUUCAAGCUGGUCCUUGGAGGGUUGAGGUUCAGCUGGGGGAGUGUGUUCUCUGACGUAGGAAAGGGUCCUUGUAUGUGCACGCGUGCACGUGUGCAUGCAGCGGGGUAUGAUCUGCAGUCUCUAUAUCUUCUGUCUUUAAGGGAAAAGAAUGUCACUUGAGGGCCCUCUGGCCUGGGGCUCAGAAACCAGCUUCGCUAACCUCCUCCAGCGCCUGGGCUGUGCUGCGUGACCCACGGCCUCCAGCUGACCCUCUCUGGUCUACACAUCAAGUCUGGCAGAUGGACUACGCUUACAAGACGAACUCACCUAGGCCUCUCAACAUGCCGUCCCGUCCUGUGUCCUGUCACAGAGGAGGGAGCCCAGACAUGAAAGGAGUCCCCUCCUCCCCAGAAAGGGGGGCAGCCCGCAACACAGAGGCAGGGACACGGCGACCAACCUUCUCACGUCUUUAUUUGAAAGGCACAGCUAAGCCCACCCUCGAGACAGCGUAUUCACUUCUCUCUCGGAGUUCAAACGACUGAACACAACAAAAGCUGACAGUCUAAAAGGCUAUAUACAGACACAGGUGUGGGUGUUGCUUUUUUUCAAACAUUUUUCUGUCUUUUUUUUUAAUAUCCCCUUUCUUAAAAGACAAGCUAGUAUAC